UGAGUGUUUUGAGUUUGAGUGUAUUGAGUUUGUGUGUUUGUUGUUUAAGGAUUACAAUGCCAGUUAUCUGUGCGACAUAAAAAAAAAGCUUCCUAAUUUGUUCUGUCGGAUGAGCUGCAAGUUUAUGAUCAUGUGUGUGUGUGUUGUUUGGAUUGAAUUGAUAGAUGAUGUUCAUUGAUUAGCAUGUGAGCUUAUGUUUACCUCUGUUCUUACUUUAUUAUUUCUUGCAGGUUAACGAAUAUGGGACAAGAUUAUUCAUACAUCCAGCCUUCCUCAUCAUCAGACUCGAUUGACAUUACCUCCCUUCUUCAAGCAGAAGCUGAGUUGUAUGCGGAUG
rnacentral:lncRNA from 1 species